rnacentral:lncRNA from 1 species
ACAGUCCGACAAAGACUACCAGCUUUCAUGAGAGAAACCCCAACUGAUGCAGAAGUGACAAAGAAGAUGAAAAGAGCUGUAUCUACCAUUGACAAAUUUAGGUUAGGCAGCAACCACCAUUUGAUUUUCUGGGGGGGGGGCUUUGGAUUUUUUUUCUGGACAAUCUUUUUUUUUUCGCCUGUGGCGAAAAACAAUCUAUUUAAGUCGAAAACAAUUUUUUCUUUCAAUUUUAGCAUUACAUAUAGUGGCAGCUGAGGGUUAAACAAACAAUUUUAUUUUCUCAGAAUCCAAAACAAAUUAUUUUUUUCUCCAAAAAAAUCCAUACCCCCCCCCCAGAAAAUCAAAUGGUUGCUGCCUUAUAUAGGUUUUUUACAAACAUUAUCUGAAUCACAAUUUCUGUCCUUCCUCUUCCAAUGCAUAACUUUUGUACCCCUAAGACUGGGUUUAACAAAACUGUGUAUACUUUGUAUACAGUUGCAUCAUUAACUGGGGGAGGGAGAGGGGCAUAUACCAAACUCAGGUCACUCUAACCUUAAAGUUGACCUUUGGCCCUAUAGUAAAACCUUGUACAAUUCGUGUCUGGCUAAAAACUUUUCUACCAUUGGAUGACGAUACUUAGUAUGCAAAUUGCAUCAUGACCUUGUUGUGUGUCAAAUUCUAAAUUUAUAAUCUGUUACACCUUUUCAACCGGAAUUUUCAAAGGUUUUUGAUUUGGUGAUGUAUGGCAGGCCGGCGGCUGCCAAACAGAGUCCAUUCAAUAACAUGAAAACGCUUAGAUGAUUUUUUUUUCAAAAUUCGAUAUGUUGUUCCCUGUGACUAAAUGAAGGUCAAGUUCAAUUUUCAUGAUUUUAGCUUUUCUCCUAGUUGACCUACAUCAUUUUUAUACGACCGCAAAAUUUAUUGGUAUCAUGUCGUUGACAGUGUCAGCGUCGUCCGAAGAAGGAUGGUUUCCAGAUAAUUAAUUGAGUAUAAGUAAAUAGAAAUGAAUAAAAUUUUAACACAAUGUUUAUAACCACAAAAAGGAAGGUUGGGAUUAAUUUUUGGGUGAUGGUUCCUAAGGUUUAGGAAUUAGGGGCCCAAAGGGGCCAAAAACAAGCAUUUAUCUAGUUUCAGGACAAUAAGUUGUGUAUAAGUAUUUCAAUUGCUCUGAAAUUGUAACACAAUGUUUAAUAUUAUAAGUAAAAGGUUGGGAUAUAUUUAAAGGGUUAUGGGGCAAACAGUCAAGGAAUAAAGGGCCAAAAAGGGGCCAAAAACAAGCAUUUUUGUAGUUUCAAGAAAAUAACUUGUGUAAAAGUGUAUGAAUCUUUCUAAAAUUAUACCACAAGAUUCCAUACUACUAAGGGAUGGUAAGGAUUGACUUUGGGGGGUUAUGGUUCAAAUCAAUUAUGAAUUAGGGGCAAAGAAGGGGGAAAACAAGGUUUUUUUCUGGUUAAAGGACAGUUUAGACAAUUUGAAAGCAGUGUAAGGGAAGUAUUCCAAAAGUAAUAUUUGAGCUACUUCACACUGAUUUUAAAUAUGUGUAUUGGAAUUUUGCCAAUAAUUUCAAUAUUCAUAAACCCCAUUGGAAAUUUGCAAAUAACUUUAGUAUAAUAAAUUUCAUUGGAAAUUUGCCAAUAACUUGAGUAUAAUUAGAAAUUUGCCAAUAAGUUUAGCAUUAUUGGAAAUUUGCUAAUAACUUAAGUAUAAAUAAAUAUAAAUCAUUGAAAUUUCAACACAAGGUUUGAAACCACAAAGGUACGUUGGGAUUGAUUGUGGGGGUUAUGGUCCCUUUGGUUUAGGAAUAAGGGGAAUAGAAGGGGCCCAAAGACAUAUUUUUCAAGUGUCCAAUAUUACUUCCGGAACAGUGUAUAGAAUUGCCUGAAAUUGUAUCACAAGUUUCCACACCACAAAAGGAUGGUUAGGAUUGGAGUUGUCAAGUUAUGACUCAAUCUGUUUAUGAAUUAGGGGCAAAAAAGGAGGAAAUCAAGGGUUUCCUGGUUAAUGGACAAUUACUUCAGCAAUUUUUAUACGACCGAAAAAAUUGAAAAUAUAUAUUGGUAUCAAGUUGGCAUCGUCGUCUGCGUCCUCGUCGUCCUCGUCAUCCGAAUACUUUUAGUUUUCGCACUCUAACUUUAGUAAAAGUGAAAAGAAAUCUGUGAAUUUUAACACAAGGUUUAUGACCACAAAAGGGAGGUUGUGAUUGAUUUUGGGAGUUUUGGUUCCAACAGUUUAGGAAUUAGGGGCCAAAAAAGGGCCAAAAUAAGCAUUAUUCUUGGUUUUCGCACAAUUACUUUAGUAUAAGUAAAUAGAAAUCAAUGAAAUUUAAACACAAAGUUUAUUGACCACAAAAGGAAGGUUGGGAUUGAUUUUGGGAGUUGAGGUCUGAACAGUUUAGGAAUUAAGGGCCAAAAAGGGGCCCAAAUAAGCAUUUUUCUUGGGUUUACGCACCAUAACUUGAGUAUAAGUAAAUAGAAAUCUAUGAAAUUAAAACACAAGGUUUAUGACCAUAAAAGGAGGGUUGGGAUUGAUUUUGGGAGUUUUGGUCCCAACAGUUUAGGAAUAACGGGCCCAAAGGGUCCAAAAUUAAACUUUGUUUGAUUUCAUCAAAAAUUGAAUAAUUGGGGUUCUUUGAUAUAUCAAAUCUAACUGUGUAACUAGAUUCUUAAUUUUUGGUCCCGUUUUCAAAUUGGUCUACAUUAAGGUCCAAAGGGUCCAAAGUUUGACUGUCCCUUUGCAGGGUUGGCAAAGUAUUACCCGCCCGGGAAAACCCAGGCGGGAAUUCCCGGGUUUUCCCGGGCUGGGCAAUACUCCCAGAAAUGGGUAAUACUGGGUAAUACUGGGCAAUAAGACUUUUUAAGCUUAUUUUAACACAAAAUAGUAAAGUCUUGUUGUAGUUUCAUAGUAUUAUAGCUAAAAUAUAUACAUUUUAUACAGAUAACCAUUGAGAGUCAUGUUUCUAGAAGAUUGAAAAUUCAAUUUCAUUCUUUUUUCCACUACUUCUAUGUAGGCAGAAUACAAAAUUUGAAUAUUUUAGGAUUAUCAAUACCUUGUUAAUUUCCAUGUAUUGUUUCAACUAUCCAAACUUUAAAAAAAAUGCAUUUUAUAAAAUCAAAUCAAAUCAAAUCAAUAUUAAUUAUAGUCUCACCUCUCUACAUGUACAAUACAAAACAUGAAUACAAUAUAUACAACAUGUUAAUUAAAAAUACAAAACAAUCUUAAAAACAUUCGAGAGAGCCACUCUCAAAAGAGUUAUGAGAGACUUUUACAUAAAAGGACAGCUCGAUAAAAAUACAAAACAUUUUUUAUCUAUAUAAAACAUUCUUCCUUUGAAUUAAAAUAUCAUGGCAGAUUUUGGCAGAAUAAAAGCACAAAUUUUCAUUUGUAAAUAAAAAUAUAAAUUUUUCAAAUCAUCAUUUAAGUCUAAAAAAUCAAUAUUAAAAAGAAACUGCUCUAGUAAAAACCUCUUGUCUUGCAUGUAAAUAUAAAGGGCAUUGAGUAAAACAUGUUUCUCUAUCUUCAAUGCAGUUCUGUUGCAUACAUGAAUCAUUAAAACAAAAUCUAUUUUCACUUAAAACCCUUCAUAUCUCCUGUUUCAAUUCUUAUUGGCGCCACACCACAUAGCACCAAAAUAGCACAAUAGUGCUGAAAGUUUAAGUGGUGUCAAAAGUCUAAAAUAUUUCUAUAUAACUUGAUUUUCAUUUAAAAUGAAAGUCCUACAAAAGAUCAAAUAAUCGUUGAUUAAAAAAAAACUAUUUAACUAAACAGAGCACCUUUGGUCAGGGUUUUUUUUUGUAUGAAGUUUCAUGUAGGGUACUGUUUUAUGGGUGACUAUUGGCCUGUUUAUUUUUAUAGCAGUGUUUAUGUGAAUUAUAAAUUUAAAUGUCUAUGCAAUCAUAUUGCUAAAUAAACACCCUACAGGGUCAAGUCAUUAAACUUUAUAGAAAUGAAAAGGCUGAAUAUUGUUAUAUAAACAUAUCAAUGUCCUAAUCUGAAUAAUUACUUAUUAAUUAGUGAUGUACAUAUAAAUUAUGCAAAAGUAAUUGUUCUUACAUUUUCUUGUUAAUUCUUAAUGUAAGAUAAUAUACAUUUGAAAAUGAAUUCUUUGAAUUUAUGUUAACAGUUUGACCAAUCUAGACGAGAGGGUGAUUUAAUAGACUUUCAGAAGAAAAUUAUUGAUAAAUGCCUUUUCCAAUUAGUAUUUGUGUAAUGUGUGCCUACAUGUUUACUUGUCUCAUAGUUGCAGAAAUUAGUACUUUUCAAAUGUUAUACAUUGUAUAUCACUCUCAAACAAGUAAAACUAAUUUAUAAAUCAAAAUGUUUAUAAAUAUCUUAAAAUGUAUUGCAAUUGAGUUUGAUCACUGAAUCCUCUUUAAAAUUCAGGGCAGUAUUUAUAUUACCUCAGUAUUGCCCAGUAUUACCCAUUAAAACCCAGUAAAACCCGGGUUUUCCCAGUAUUCCCACUGGGCUGGGCAAUACUCAUAAAACCCGGGUUUUUGCCAACCCUGUCCCUUUGGUAUCUUUCGUCCCUCUUUUAAACUUGGUUUGAUUUUAACAAAAAUUGAAUCCUUGGGGUUCUUUGAUAUGCUGAAUCUAAAAAUGUACUUUGAUUUUUGAUUAUUGGCCCAGUUUUCAAGUUGGUCCAAAUCGGGGUCAAAAUUAAACUUUGUUUGAUUUCAUCAAAAAUUGAAUAAUUGGGUUCUUUGAUAUGCCAAAUCUAACUGUGUAUGUAGAUUCUUAAUUUUUGGUCCCGUUUUCAAAUUGGUUUACAUUAAAGUCCAAAGGGUCCAAAAUUAAACUAAGUUUGAUUUUAACAAAAAUUGAAUUCUUGGGCUUCUUUGAUAUGCUGAAUCUAAACAUGUACUUAGAUUUUUUAUUAUGGGCCCAGUUUUCAAGUUGGUCCAAAUCAGGAUCCAAAAUUAUUAUAUUAAGUAUUGUGCAAUAGCAAGAAAUUUUCAAUUGCACAGUAUUCAGCAAUAGCAAGAAAUUUUCAAUUGCACAGUAUUGUCCAAUAGCAAGAUAUUUUCAAUUGCACAGUAUUGCGCAAUAGCAAGAAAUAUCUAAUUGCACAGUAUUGUGCAAUAGCAAGAAAUUUUCAAUUGGAGUUAUCUUUCUUUGUCCAGAAUAGUAGUUGAAUCAACUUAAAUCAUUAUUUUAUACAAUAUACAAUGUAUAUUCACUUUUACUACCAACUGAUAAAUUAAAACAAUCUUUACCAUUCAGUGAUAACAAGCACUUUUUUACAUUUUAAUAUUUUAUAAUGUAUUUAAAUGAGUAGUUAUUGUUGCAAACUCCAUUAGAAAUUUGAAUUGAGAUCAGUUUUGGAAUAAGGGAAAGGGGGAUGUGAAACAAAAAUUGGAAAGGUGGGGGGGUCAAUUUUUCUCAUUUCAGAUUUCAUCAAUAAAAAGAAACCUAUGCUGUGUCAACUAUUUAAUCACAAUCCAAAUUUAGAGCUGAAUCCAGCUUGAAUGUUGUGUCCAUACUUGCCCCAACCAUUCAGGGUUCAACCUCUGUGGUCGUAUAAAGCUGCGCCCUGUGGAGCAUCUGGUUCUCAUUUCAGAAAUUAGAAAGAAAAUUUCUUCAACAGCCUAGUGUAUUGCUCAAAAGCAAAAAAUUAAAUUGUUAAGUUUAUUAGACCACAUUCAUUCUGUGUCAGAAACCUAUACAGUGUCAACUUUUUAAUCACAAUCCAAAUCCAGAGCUAUAUCAAGCUUGAAUGUAGUGUCCAUACUUGCCCCAACUGUUCAGAAUUCUACCUCUGUGGUCGUAUAAAACUGCGCCCUGCGGAGCAUCUGGUUAAUAUCAGGAUUGAGUUAUUUCUUUUUUUACAGAAAUGGUUGAUUAUAUAUAUAAAGUUUGGUUACAUUAAGUGUUUUAAAAUAAGUAUCUCCUGUUAUCAGAUUAUGACAGAGCAUGUGGUAAAAGUCUUAUCUCCCAAUUAUCAUUGGAGUGACAGAUUUAUUUGAAAAUUCUCUGUUUCCUAAGUGAAGUGCUGAUGAUUAUAAGCUUUAUAGGACUGUAUAAAUAUAGUAAGAAAUGUACUCGUAAUUUUGAGACAGUUUGAAGAUAAUUAAAUUAAGUCUCCUUAAAACAUAUAUAUUCUUAACAUGCGUAAGAAUAUGCUUUUAUCUUGUAAACGGUUCAGAUCCCCACCCCUAAACCGUAUAUAUUCUUGUAUGGUCGAAUAAAAAAUCAAAUGAAAUAUUGGAAGAGUCCCUGGCGUUUACCCAAACCCGCGCUUCUGUUUGAUAACUUGUAAACUAUCGAGAUCCUUACCCCAUAACCAUAUAUAUUCAUGUAUUGGACAAUAAAACAAAUCAAAUCAAAUUAAGGGGGAGUCCCUGGCGGUCACUCUCACCCCCUCCGGUUUAAGGACUUGUAAAUGGUCGAGAUCCCCACCACUAACACUAAACCAUGGAUAUUCUUGUAUGGGACAAUAAAACAAAUCCACUGAAAUAUAGGGGAAUUCCACUGGGAUCAGAGCUGUUUUAAGUUUAAAUGUUGUGUACAUAUUUGCUCGACCUCUGCAGGAAAAUCCUUUUAGGUGUCUGUGAUGUAUGUUUACACAAUUUUGACUACUGGAUCUCUAUAGCAUGUUAAGAGGGAUUACUUGCACUUAUGUGUAUUGAUAAGUAUAUAUGACAAAAAGCCUUAUCCAGCUUCUAUUGUGCUUUGAUUAUCUUUUGUUUUGAGGCAAUACAAAUCUUAUGAAUUAAUUUAUCUUUGAAAACUGAAAUCCCCAAAUAUUAACUGAUUUUUUGAUUUUUUUUCAAUUUCAGCAUCAGACUUGGAGUGUUCCUAAGAAGAAAUCCCAUGAGUCGAAUUUUCAUUAUUUUGUAUAUGGUAAGAAAAUAAUAUUGUGACAUGUUGCAGGACUAUUUCGAAUGUAGAACAAUAUCUGCUUAACUGAGAUUAUCCAUAACUUUUUGUUGACCCUAUGACUUGUGUUGCAGAAAGCUUGACACCUGGAGGCAGAAGCCACUGGGUUAACUUACUACAUACCCUAAAUUGGGAAAUUUUGGCAUUGGAAAUUUUGGCGGUUUUCUUUAGAAAGGCAUAUGUAUGUAAUUUUGGUGCUUCGUCCAAUUAAUAUGUUUAAUUUUGUAACAACAGGAGUGAGCAAAAUCAUUCAUAUUUUCCUUUAUUUACCCUUUUAUUGACAAAAUAUUAUUGAAUUUCUCAAUUGAGAAACACAACACAGUUAAACUAAUGAAGGAAUCUGAUAUGGAUGCAAUUGCAAAUAAUUCCAAUUAUCAUGGUUCAAAGCUGCAAGAAGUAAUGAAAUAUAAUCUUUUAUUAUAUACUUCGUAGUAAAUACAGAUAAAUUGUAUGUGUAAUACAAUGAAUGGCAAGCGUGCUGUAUCAGCCACCCGUGAUGAUAUCGAUAUCAGCACGGUUGCAAAAGCUUUUAACACCUUUAAUCUGUAUGAGGCAUCACGUCAUCGAUUGCAAUCACUGUUGCAAAGCUUUAUCAAAACCCUAAUCUGUAUGACGUCAUGUCAAACCUAUAAUCUGUAUGACGUCAUUUAAAACCUCCUAAUCUGUAUGACGUCAUGUCACAUAAAAAACAUCUACUUGAGGUAUAUGUAUAUAAUAAAGUGUAUAUGAUAUGGCUUUUUUAAUAUCACACACCGUAUCAACCCUUAACCAAUAUAAUCCCUCGAGCAGAGCUCUUGGGAUUAUAUUGGUGUCUCUGGUUGAUACGGAUGCGAUUUUGAAAACGCCAUAUGAUAUUCUCUAUGAAUAUUGAAUUCACUAUAUAAACAGAUUAUUUAUUUUUAACACAUAUCAUACAAAAAUAAAUUUUGAUUAUAUCUAUAUAUUGCAGUACAGGAUAAUCUAUUGGCCAUCAAGGAUUUAAUUUUAAUCCUUGCAUCUCUGGCAGGACGGUUUACUCCUGGUUUGCCCACUUUUAAUUAUACCAAUUAUCUAUUAGUAAAGAAAGUAAAAAAGACAAAAGGUUUAAUGAGCAUACCAUUGUUUAGUCUGUUCCAACUUAAGUAAAUAGAUUAUUAGUGUUUUCUAUUUAUUCAAUAGCUGGAGUCUGGUGUCUAUUAAUCUGAAUCUUCAUCUUUUUUGGUGGGCGGGCUCCUCUGGCUGCAUACUGUAUAAUAUUACAUUCCUCUAGCUGCAUAGUGGAUAAUAUUACAUUCUAUUAUUGCUUUAACCUUGGUCUUCUUCAGUACCUCAAUGAUCUCAAAGAUGUUUAGGUGAGCAUUUUGGAGUCUCUACUCAAUUUUGUUAUGUCAUCCAGAUCUCAGAAAAAAAAUUUCCCAUAUACCUUUAUAUAACACAAGGUACUUAACUCGUGAUUUAGAAAAAUGUCAGGCGAGGAAAAAAUUCUGUUAUAUGCCAAUUUCUCGGCUGUCAACCCACCAGAACUUGUUAUGUCGUAAAUCUAAAUUGAUUUAUCUUCACAAUGGUAUUUAAUUCGCCUACUUUUGUUGUCGGAAUCAUCCGUAGCAAUCCUACCCAAAUAUGUCAAUUGUAAUUAUUUCAUCUACAGACGAUGGAUUUGCAAUUAAUGCGUCACGUCUCUUUAUAUAUCUCGGUUUCCGAUUGGUCAAUUUUAUGGGAAAGUCUAAAUGAUUCUCAGAGUUAUCUGAUCUUGCUACAUUUCAUACGUAAAGUCAAGAGAGUCUGAAUGACAUUGACGUCAUGGGAAAAUUUGUAACUUAUUAGAUAUACCACAAAUAACACUUGUUAGAUUUUUUCAAGGAAUCUUUUACAAUUUUACUAACCAGCUGAUAAGUUCUUUCUGAAAUAAUUUUUAUAAUUAAUCAUUUACUGCAAGACGUUUAUUGCCAAUUUUUUGUUGUUAGACGAAAUAAUUACGAUCAACAUACUUUGGAAGGAUGGCUACGGAUGAUUGCGACUACAAAAUUAGGCGUCUUAUAUACCAUUGUGAAGAUAAAUCAAUUUAGAUUUACGACAUAACAAGUUUUAGUGGGGUUGACAGCCAAGAAAUUGGCAUAUAAGUACCUUGUGUUAUAUAAAGGUAUAAUAUAGGAUUUUUUUUUAUCUGAGACGAGUGCCUGUGCUUGGAUAAAUGAAAAAGUGACAUGCUGAAUUUGUAAACUUUUAUUGAUUGUUAUAAAACUUGGACAGAGACUGUUCAACUGUUCAAGACGAAGAAAUAGCAUUUAAAGAUUAUUUUUUUUAAAUCUGUAUUUAACUGAUGAAUGGACUCACUUUUUAGCUCACCUGGCCCGAAGGGCCAAGUGAGCUUUUCCCAUCACUUGGCGUCCGUCGUCCGUCGUCGUCGUCCGUCGUCCGUCGUCGUCCGUCGUCGUCGUCCGUCGUCGUUAACUUUUACAAAAAUCUUCUCCUCUGAAACUACUGGGCCAAAUCAAACCAAACUUGGCCACAAUCAUCAUUGGGGUAUCUAGUUUAAAAAAUGUGUGGCGUGACCCGGUCAACCAACCAAGAUGGCCGCCACGGCUAAAAAUAGAACAUAGGGGUAAAAUGCAGUUUUUGGCUUAUAACUCAAAAAACCAAAGCAUUUAGAGCAAAUCUGACAUGGGGUAAAAAUGUUUAUCAGGUCAAGAUCUAUCUGCCCUGAAAUUUUCAGAUGAAUCGGUCAAUCGGUUGUUGGGUUGCUGCCCCUGAAUUGGUAAUUUUGAGGAAAUUUUGCUGUUUUUGGUUAUUAUCUUGAAUAUUAUUAUAGAUAGAGAUAAACUGUAAACAGCAAUAAUGUUCAGCAAAGUAAGAUCUACAAAUAAGUCAACAUGACCAAAAUGGUCAGUUGACCCGUUUAGGAGUUAUUGCCCUUUAUAGUCAAUUUUUAACCAUUUUUCGUUAAUUAAAGUAAUCUUUUACAAAAAUCUUCUCCUCUGAAACUACUGGGCCAAAUUAAUCCAAACUUGGCCACAAUCAUCUUUGGGGUAUCUAGUUUUAAAAAUGUGUGGCGUGACCUGGUCAACCAACCAAGAUGGCCGCCACGGCUAAAAAUAGAACAAAGGGUAAAAUGCAGUUUUUGGCUUAUAACUCAAAAACCAAAGCAUUUUGAGGAAAUCUGACGGGAUAAAAAUGUUUAUCAGGUCAAGAUCUAUCUGCACUGAAAUUUUCAGAUGAGUCAGUCAAUCGGUUGUUGGGUUGCUGCCCCUGAAUUGGUAAUUUUGAGGAAAUUUUGCUGUUUUUGGUUAUUAUCUUGAAUAUUAUUAUAGAUAGAGAUAAACUGUAAACAGCAAUAAUGUUCAGCAAAUUAAGAUCUACAAAUAAGUCAACAUGAUCAAAAUGGUCAGUUGACUCGUUUAGGAGUUAUUGCCCUUUAUAGUCAAUUUUAACCAUUUUUCAUAAAUUAAAUUAAUCUUUUACAAAAAUCUUCUCCUCUGAAACUACUGGGCCAAAUUAAUUCAAACUUGGCCACAAUCAUCUUUGGGGUAUCUAGUUUAAAAAAUGUGUGGCGUGACCUGGUCAACCAACCAAGAUGGCCGCCACCGCUAAAAAUAGAACAUAGGGGUAAAAUGCAGUUUUUGGCUUAUAACUCAAAAACCAAAGCAUUUUGAGGAAAUCUGACGGGAUAAAAAUGUUUAUCAGGUCAAGAUCUAUCUGCCCUGAAAUUUUCAGAUGAAUCGGUCAAUUGGUUGUUGGGUUGCUGCCCCUGAAUUGGUAAUUUUGAGGAAAUUUUGCUGUUUUUGGUUAUUUUCUUGAAUAUUAUUAUAGAUAGAGAUAAAUUGUAAACAGCAAUAAUGUUCAGCAAAAUAAGAUCUACAAAUAAGUCAACAUGACCAAAAUGGUCAGUUGACCCCUUUAGGAGUUAUUGCCCUUUAUAGUCAAUCUUUAACCAUUUUUCAUAAAUCUAAGUAAUCUUUUACAAAAUCUCCACUGAAACUACUAGGCCACAAUCAUCUUUGGGGUAUCUAGUUUGAAAAAUAUGUCUGAUGACCUGGCCAUUCAACCAAGAUGGCCGCCACGGCUAAAAAUAGAACAUAGGGGUAAAAUGCAGUUUUUGGCUUAUAACUAUGAAUUCAAAGCAUCUAGAGCAAAUCUGACAAGAAGUUAAAUUGUUAAUCAAGUCAAUAUCUAUCUGCCCUGAAUUUUUCAGAUGAAUUGGACAACUGGUUGUUGGGUUGCUGCCCUCCAAUUGGUAAUUUUUAAAGAAAUUUUGCCGUUUUUGGUUAUCUUGAAUACUAUUAUAGAUAGCGAUAAACUGUAAACAGCAAUAAUGUUCAGCAAAGUAAGUUCUACAAAUAAGUCAACAUGACCAAAAUGGUCAAUUGACCCCUUAAGGAGUUAUUGCCCUUUAUAGUCAAUUUUUAACAAUUUUCAUUAAUUUGGUAAAUAUAUGUUAAUUUCUACCAAAUAUAGUUCUCUGUUACUAAUGGGCAAAGUUCAUUAUAGAUAUAAUUGUAAGAAGCAAAAUCGUUCAGUAAAGUAAGAACUUCAAACACAUCACCAUCACCAAAAUACAAUUUGUCAUGAAUCCAUUUGUGUCCUUUGUUUAAUAUGCACAUAGACCAAGGUGAGCGACACAGGCUCUUUAGAGCCUCUAGUUUAAUCAACAUUUACUGACAGUAGCAAUCUCAGCCAAGACACAAGAGUUCUGCCGAACCCCUGAUAUUUUUUUCUUAUUUUGUGCCAUAUAACUAUGAAAUAGAUGUUUUUGUUGUAGGUUUUGCUUCAUGUUUGGGUGAUGGUAGUGCUUAUGACUUAUCAACCAGAAAUACACGCUACAGACUCCAAACAACCACACGAUCCACAGACUUGAAGUCGUAUUUCAAAUGUGAUUGUAUGAUUAAAUACCUUGUGCCUAUAUAGAACAUACUGUUACAGUAAUAAUGCUAUAUGUAUCAUUUAUGCUGCACUUGAAAUUCAUAUUUUGUUUAUUAUCAAUGUAUUGGUGAUACUGGACAGCAUUCUAAAGCUCUGUGUAACAGUUAAAGGGAGAUUUGAUAAAUCAUUUCAACUGUAUGGGGAAUGAUUUAACUAAUAUGUAAAACCUUUAUGUUUGAGCUGUCAUUUUAUCAACUGAAAGAAAGGGUAUCACCACACCUUAUUUCUAGCAUAUCUAUAGGAGUUUUGUUGUUUAUUCAUGUAUCAAAACAAAUAGUACAAUUAUCCAUCAGAUCUUGGUAAAUGUAUUAUUAGAUUGGUGUGUGUAUAAAUGUUUUGAUCUCUGAAAUUGUACCACAUGGUUCCAUACAUUUAAAAGGUUUUGAUUGAUUCACAUUUAAGUCCAAAAGGUCCAAAAAUAAAAGUUAGUUUUAUUUCAUUGAAUUAAUAUCUUUGAUAUAUAUGUGGAAUCUAACUGCAUAUUUAUAUUUUAAAUUUUGGGCCAGGAUUUAAAAUUGGUCCACUAAAAAGUCCAAAGGAUCCAAAUUCAAACUGAUUGAUUUCAACAAAAAUAAAAAAUAUGGGGGUUCACAUUGUAUUUUCUCUGAAACCUUCAUUUCUCAAAAGAUAUUAAUUAAAAGUUUUAAGAAAAAAGAAAAAGUGUUUUUAAGUUAUUGCCAAAGUACCUGGGAUAGAUAAAAUAUAUGCAACACAGGGGACAUAGGAUUUCUUUUAUUUUAUUUUUCCAGAAACAUUUAAUGUGUGCAUCUAAAUUGGUUAGUGCCAAGUUAGAUAUUACAAUCACAUAGAAUCUGAUGUCCUCUUAAACCUUGUCUCAAUUAUCCACAGUGUGAAAGGUAGAAAAUUUGUUGAUUACUUAUUCUUUUUAUUGGGAAAAGAUAGAGCUAUCUUAUAUCUUAUACUUUUGGCAAGUCUUUAUUUGGAUGCAUCACAUUUGCUCGCAUUUGAGGAUUAUUCUUUUUUACGUUUCCUCGCAGCUACAUUUUGCUUGCAGGUAAAACAUGUAGUUCAUAAUAGAGAUUCUGAUAGUUGGUUUAAACUGGUGUAUAAUUUUAAUUAUAUUUUAUAAUAAUAUAUUUUUAUAUGACCAAAUUUUGUGGUUGUAUAAUGUUAUGUUGUCAGCUGUAGGUUUCGUAGUCAAGACAUUUGGUUUCUAAACAAUAAAUUGAGUAUAAUAUGUGUAUGAAUUAAUCUCUGUAAAAUUGUACAGGAAGGUUGUGAUUGAUUUUGGAGCUUGUUGUUUUGUUUAGGAAUAAAAAAAAAGAGGGCCAUAAACAUUUUUCUUGUUUCUUGAUUUUUAGGUAAAGAUUGCAGGAAAUGCAAUCAAAACCUUAUGGGACUGGCUUGAUAUCUGAAUAUUCUAAGGCUGAUUGCUACCUUUUUUGAUACACAAAAUAUAGUGCAUUAACUUUAACAUUCUAUACAUACUAUCCUUGAACAUUUCCAGAAUUUUAUCAAUGUAAUUUAUGCUCAGAUAUUCAAGGCACAAAAUGAUGUUUCACUUGUCAAGAUAAUUACAUAGUUUUUACAAGGUGCAGGAAUCUAAUAUCUGUUCAAAAAAUAUAAAUAAUGUCAUUGUUAUCCUCAUCUGUAAAAAUUGGAGUUAUCUUCCUUUGUCUAGAAUUGCUGUUAAAUCAACAACAACCAAUGCAAUAUUUAAUUUUACUUCCCACUGAUGAAUUCAAGCAAUCAUUACUGUUCAGUGCUUUCAAGCGCUUUGAUUGUUUAAGUGUAUGGAUCUUUUUGUAGUUGUACCACAAGGUAUGCAAAAAAGGAAAGUUGGGAUUGAUUUUGGAGGUAAUGGCCUUAACCGUUAUCAUUAAUUGCUACAUAGGGACAAAUUUUAUUACACAAUAUACAUGAAUAGAUGAUAAAAACCAUAAGUAUUUUGAAUUGAGUCCUUGUGGUCAAUUGAGACCAAUACCAAGGGCCAAGGUCAUAUUCUAUAUUUUGACUCUUUUGUAUUUAUGCCACUGACAUUUCUUGUGAUAUAUAUGUUUUUGAAAUUUCGUACACAUUAUAAUUUGCGUAGGGUUAUUGUACAAGUUGUCAGUAUUUUGAUGCACACCUGCUUUCACCAGUUGAUACAAGUUUAUCUUGAAAAAGUAACCAGUUCGAUGUUGUACUCACAAAUUUAUAUACUUGAACCUGAAACUAAGCAUUUGUCAUAAAAUCAUGUCAUAAAUCUACAAAUGAGAACAUUGAUUAAUUUAGAUAAUAUUUUUAUUUUUUGACUAAUCCAAAUUCUUUGUCCACAAAAUAUAUUUUAGUGUUUUUAUAUAAACUUUGUGUCAGUACUAUGUGUAAGACUAGCAUAAAAUUGUGGAUAUAAAACAGUCAUAAGCAUAACCAAAGACACUGUGCUGACUUUAUCUAACUAUGAAAAAACCCACAAAAUACUGAUAACUUGUACAAAAAUACUGUACAAAUCAUAAUUUGUACACAACACCAGGAACACAUGUAUUGAUUAGAUAUACUGUUCAGACAACAUAUAUAAAAAAAGACUAGUGUAAAUUGUUUGCUUUAUUGUGAUGAAGAUAUGCGAUACAUUUGGUGUGAAUUGAAACAAUUUAUUGAGCUAUAUUGAUCUUUCAAAAUUAUAUUAUUGUCCACCAACGUGAAAAUUGAGUCAAGGUUGUAGGUCAAUGUCAUUUUAAAGGCACUAGCUACCGUUUCAUUGAAAUAUAAAGAUAUUAAAAUAAGUCUUGAUACAUUGGAGACCAAUUGCCGGAAUGCAGGGUUGGGUAAGUACUGAUAUAACAAUAACAUUUGCAGGGCUGCCAAGUCUCACGCAUUUAGAGUGAGACUCGCGCAUGUUCAUGCUUUUUUGGCGGCAUUUUCCUUUGAUCUAUUGUUUUUUUUCUCUUUGAUCUUUUCAAUUUUGGCCAAAUCUCACGCAUUUGCUUCAUGAAAAGUUGGCAGAACUGCAUUUGUGUCUAUGGUUACAUUGUGUUAUUGUUACAUUAAUGCACUUAAAUGUACACUGGGAUUAUUAAUCAUGUAUUUAAAUAAAACAUGAAAACUUGUAUUUGAAUUUUACAUACAAUUUUUAUGCCCCAUGGGCAGUAUGUUUUUGGUCCAUGCGUCCUUUUGUCUGUCAGACGUGUCUUUCCCGGUUUUUGGUCUGUCUGGUUAUAGUUUUUGGUCAGGGUAGAUUUUGAUGAAGUUGAAGUCAUAUCAACUUGAAACUUGGUACACAUGUUCCCUAUGAUAUGAUCUUUUCAAUUUUAAUACCAUUUUAUUAAUAGAAAUGAUAGUGUGAGUGUUCUAUGGACACACUCUUGUUAAAAUUUACAAUGGACUUGCUUUUUCGACAUAAGUCGUUGGCUCGACAACAAUUACAAUUUUUGAAUUUAUAAAGGGGUAUAACUCUAGAACAGUAAAACUGACACAACCAUAACUCAAAUUUAAUCAGUAUUUUGUGAUAAUGAGCAUUGUGUAUAAGUUUCAUAACAUUUGGUUGAGACAAACUAAAGUUGGAGACGAAAAUUCAACUUGACCUGUGUUUUGUGGAAAUAAGUAUUGCUUAUUAGUUUCAUAAAAUUUGGUUUUGGAAAACUAAGUUAGAGACCAGAAACCAAUUUUUGGAUGUACGGAUGUAUGUACAAGUAAGGGACGUACAUACUUACAGACAACUAGAGGCUCUAAAGAGCCUGUGUCGCUCACCUUGGUCUAUGUGAAUAUUAAACAAAGGAAGCAGAUGGAUUCAUGACAAAAUUGUGUUUUGGUGAUGGUGAUGUGUUUGUACAUCUUACUUUACUGAACAUUCUUGCUGCCUAUAAUUAUCUCUAUCUAUAAUGAACUUGGCCCAGUAGUUUCAGUGGAAAUGUUAGUUAAAAUUUACAAAUUUUAUGAAAAUUGUAAAAAAUUGACUAUAAAGGACAAUAACUCCUAAAGGGGUCAACAGACCAUUUUGGUCCUGUUGACUUAUUUGUAGAUCUUACUUUGCUGAACAAUUUUGCUGUUUACAGUUUAUCUCUAUCUAUAAUAAUAUUCAAGAUAAUAACCAAAAACAGCAAAAUUUCCAAUUCAGGGGCAGCAACCUAUCAAAGAGUAGUCCGAUUCAUCUCAAAAUUUGAGGGCAGAUAGAUCUUGACCUAAUACAAUUUUACCCCAUGUCAGAUUUGCUCUAAAUGCUUUGGUUUUUGAGUGAUAAGCCAAAAACUGCAUUUUACCCCUAUGUUCUAUUUUUAGCCAUGGCAGCCAUCUUGGUUGGUUGGCCGGGUCAAAACUAGAGUUAAACUAGAUACCCCAAUAAUGAUUGUGGCCAAGUUUGGUUUAAUUUGGCCAAGUAGUUUCAGAGGAGAAGAUUUUUGUAAAAGUUAACGACGACGGACGACGCUGGACGCCAAGUGAUGAGAAAAGCUCACUUGGCCCUUUGGGCAAGGUGAGCUAAACUAGAGGCUCUAAAGAGCCUGUGUCGCUCACCUUGGUCUAUGUGCAUAUUAAACAAAGGACACAAAUGGAUUCAUGACAAAAUUGUAUUUUGGUGAUGGUGAUGUGUUUGAAGUUCUUACUUUACUGAACGAUUUUGCUUCUUACAAUUAUAUCUAUAAUGAACUUUGCCCAUUAGUAACAGAGAACUAUAUUUGGUAAAAAUUUACAUAUAUUUACCAAAUUAAUGAAAAUUGUUAAAAAUUGACUAUAAAGGGCAAUAACUCC